GGAGAGAGAAAUAAUGUGGCUGCAUUGCCGUCGUACUGGCAGAACGAAUCGAGAGAGAGAGUGGAAGCGCAGCCGCUGUCGUGGUUUCCGACCGCAACUUCGUCUGGUGCUGGGGGGUCUGCGCGCAUCUCCGUGUGGAGUUCUUGGACUGAGGGCGGUCUGGGCUUGUCGAAUUUCUCAUCGGCAUGCCACCGUGGCCGCUGUUCCACCGUAUCGCGUCGACGACCUCUUCCUCAUCACCACCGACGCAGUGAGGAUACGUGUCACCU
rnacentral:lncRNA from 7 species